rnacentral:rRNA from 1 species
GAAUCUUGGACAAUGGGGGCAACCCUGAUCCAGCGAUGCCGCGUGAGCGAUGAAGGCCUUAGGGUUGUAAAGCUCUUUCACCGGUGAAGAUAAUGACGGUAGCCGGAGAAGAAGCCCCGGCUAACUCCGUGCCAGCAGCCGCGGUAAUACGGAGGGGGCUAGCGUUGUUCGGAAGUACUGGGCGUAAAGCGCGCGUAGGCGGACUGUUAAGUCGGGGGUGAAAUCCCGGGGCUCAACCCCGGAACUGCCCCCGAUACUGGCAGCCUGGAGGUCGAGAGAGGUGAGUGGAAUGCCGAGUGUAGAGGUGAAAUUCGUAGAUAUUCGGCGGAACACCAGUGGCGAAGGCGGCUCACUGGCUCGAACCUGACGCUGAGGCGCGAAAGCGUGGGGAGCAAACAGG